AGGAAAUGUACAAACUUAUUCUAUUUAAGUGAAAAUUGGAUCAUCUUUUUAUUUUUAUUCUAUCUUUCUUUCUCUCUUAAUCUUUGUAUUUGUAAUAGGCCAAUUUUAUCCGGCCCAAUAAACAAAACAACACAAAAAAGAAAAAGAAAAAAAAUAACACGUUCAUUUACAAAAAAAUCUAUUGGCCCAAAUACAUUACCCAAUUUACCCUAACCCAAAUCUGCUAACCUAAAAACCCUAAAAGCCCAAGCCUAAAAACUUAAACUAAUCAAGAAAAACCCUAGUCGCCGCGGCUCCUUACCAUGUCAACGGACACGACACCCGAGGACUAUCCCUCCCUGCCAUCGUUUCAUCAAAAUGGCAAGGCGCGACCUUCCCAACGCCGUUAACCUUGCCACAAACUCCUACAAAAGAAAAGAACAAAAGAAGACAGAAGCAGAAAAGAAGAAAUAGCAAAAGAGAGUAUUUUGUAAUAUUUUUUGCUAUAAAAGCCAUAACGAUCAUGUGUAUUUUUUUACGAAGAAAUCGAAACAGAAUACAAAAAAAAAUAAACAGAUUCAAAAAGGUAGUUCAUUUUGUUCGUUAUUUAUUUUCUCUUCUCAAAAAAUAUAAAAGAAAUUAAAUAAAAAUAGAAAGUUCAAAUCUUUUACCUGAUUCGUCGCGUCGUCACCGUAGAUGGGUAAGACCAUCGUCCCCGAGGAAGAGCGACCCCUUUUCGACGUGAAAGGCCCUUGGGUUCCUUUGAACCUGCCUGGGCUUCGCCAGAAAAGUGGGCACGAGGGGUGUGCGUUCAAAAAAGAGCGACCGAAAGUUGUUAUUUAUUUAUUAUUUUCUAAAUUUAGAAGGCAUUGCCUUCAGAUCUGGGUCCUAUAGGUGCAAAAAAGGGAAAUUUUUUUAACUCCGGCCACCGGAGGAGGUCCGUCGUCCUUUAUGGUCGUAUAUAGAGAAAGUGUUAAGA
rnacentral:lncRNA from 1 species